AAAGCAUCCAUUUUAAUUAAAAGUCAGGCCAAAUUUACGUCAAAUUAGGGAGCGUUUCCCGUCAAAUAAUUAAUAUCCUUUUAGCGGGAAACAAAAACCUGAUCCCAAAUAAUUAAAAUAAAUUGUUCCUUUCUGAUGCGGGAAAUAAGUAACCUUAUAUGAAAAAUAAAACCAGUCGAGCUCCCAAAACCCGAGUUUGAACAAUUAAAUCUUCACAAGGAACACUGCAGAUAACACCAAAAAACUCGUUCCUUCCUUGAAAAUAGACGAAAAAAACCCUAAAAAAUCUCCAAACAAUGGCACAAAUCAGCAACACCAGACUGAUGACAACACGGACAACCCGGUCCAGACAACUGUCGGAAGCAUCAGGUGUUUUUUCCAGAAGUAUGAGAUUCGUUUGGGUUCUGGUGAUUUUGUCGGUGCUGGUAGAGAAAAUCAACUGUAUCGCAAUUGCUUUGCCACCAACAGACCAGGAGACAGCUCUAAUUUACGAAGACGAUGGAAUGGGUUCUCCCUCUGAUUUGUACGACACCAAAAGAUCAUCAGCAAUGCACUUCUUCAAAAGAGCAGACACCGACCCCCUAACUGAAGAAUUCCUCAAAAGAUCUUCCCCUUGGCACUAUGGAAAAAGAUCUUCCCCUUGGCACUAUGGAAAAAGGUCUUCGCCGUGGCAUUACGGCAAUGGAAAACGCUCAUCAGCUAUGCAUUUUUUCAAAAGGGAUCAACAAUAUAUGCCAUAUAUGGAAGCAAACGGAAAUGACGCUUUCUACGCGUGAUCAAAAGCGACAAAACGACGCGCAAUUCGACAAGAAGAACUCAAAAUUGUCAAUCUAUGCGUAAAGAUAUACAUAUAAAUGCUUAUGUUAAUUCAAAAUCGAUGAGGUUA